rnacentral:rRNA from 1 species
GCCUACGGGGGGCAGCAGUGGGGAAUAUUGGGCAAUGGGCGCAAGCCUGACCCAGCAACGCCGCGUGAAGGAAGAAGGCUUUGGGGUUGUAAACUUCUUUUAUUCGGGACGAAGAAAGUGACGGUACCGAAUGAAUAAGCCACGGCUAACUACGUGCCAGCAGCCGUGGUAAUACGUAGGUGGCAAGCGUUAUCCGGAUUUAUUGGGUGUAAAGGGCGUGUAGGCGGGAAUGCAAGUCAGAUGUGAAAACU